rnacentral:rRNA from 1 species
AUACGUAGGUGGCAAGCGUUGUCCGGAUUUAUUGGGUUUAAAGGGUGCGUAGGUGGCCCUGUAAGUCAGUGGUGAAAUAUCUCAGCUUAACUGAGAGGGUGCCAUUGAUACUGCAGGGCUUGAGUACAGAUGAGGUAGGCGGAAUUGACGGUGUAGCGGUGAAAUGCAUAGAUAUCGUCAAGAACACCGAUAGCGAAGGCAGCUUACCAAGCUGUAACUGACACUGAGGCACGAAAGUGUGGGGAUCAAACAGGA